rnacentral:rRNA from 1 species
UGAACGCACAUUGCGCCCCUUGGUAUUCCAGGGGGCAUGCCUGUUUGAGCGUCAUUU